GUUUGAUCCUGGCUCAGGACGAACGCUGGCGGCACGCUUAACACAUGCAAGUCGAACGAGAGAAGAGGAGCUUGCUUUUCUGAUCUAGUGGCGGACGGGUGAGUAACACGUGAGCAAUCUGCCUUUCAGAGGGGGAUACCGAUUGGAAACGAUCGUUAAUACCGCAUAACAUAAUUGAACCGCAUGAUUUGAUUAUCAAAGAUUUAUCGCUGAAAGAUGAGCUCGCGUCUGAUUAGCUAGUUGGUAAGGUAACGGCUUACCAAGGCGACGAUCAGUAGCCGGACUGAGAGGUUGAUCGGCCACAUUGGGACUGAGACACGGCCCAGACUCCUACGGGAGGCAGCAGUGGGGAAUAUUGCACAAUGGAGGAAACUCUGAUGCAGCGAUGCCGCGUGAGGGAAGAAGGUUUUAGGAUUGUAAACCUCUGUCUUCAGGGACGAAAAAAGACGGUACCUGAGGAGGAAGCUCCGGCUAACUACGUGCCGCAGCCGCGGUAAUACGUAGGGAGCGAGCGUUGUCCGGAAUUACUGGGUGUAAAGGGAGCGUAGGCGGGAUCGCAAGUCAGAUGUGAAAACUAUGGGCUUAACCCAUAAACUGCAUUUGAAACUGUGGUUCUUGAGUGAAGUAGAGGUAAGCGGAAUUCCUAGUGUAGCGGUGAAAUGCGUAGAUAUUAGGAGGAACAUCAGUGGCGAAGGCGGCUUACUGGGCUUUAACUGACGCUGAGGCUCGAAAGCGUGGGGAGCAAACAGGAUUAGAUACCCUGGUAGUCCACGCCGUAAACGAUGAUUACUAGGUGUGGGGGGACUGACCCCUUCCGUGCCGCAGCAAACGCAAUAAGUAAUCCACCAGGGGAGUACGACCGCAAGGUUGAAACUCAAAGGAAUUGACGGGGGCCCGCACAAGCAGUGGAGUAUGUGGAUUAAUUCGAAGCAACGCGAAGAACCUUACCAGGUCUUGACAUCGUAUGCAUAGCUCAGAGAUGAGUGAAAUCUCUUCGGAGACAUAUAGACAGGUGGUGCAUGGUUGUCGUCAGCUCGUGUCGUGAGAUGUUGGGUUAAGUCCCGCAACGAGCGCAACCCUUACUGUUAGUUGCUACGCAAGAGCACUCUAGCAGGACUGCCGUUGACAAAACGGAGGAAGGUGGGGAUGACGUCAAAUCAUCAUGCCCCUUAUGACCUGGGCCUCACACGUACUACAAUGGCUGUCAACGGAGGGAAGCAAAGCCGCGAGGUGGAGCGAACCCCUAAAAGCAGUCUUAGUUCGGAUUGUAGGCUGCAACCCGCCUACAUGAAGUCGGAAUUGCUAGUAAUCGCAGAUCAGCAUGCUGCGGUGAAUACGUUCCCGGGCCUUGUACACACCGCCCGUCACGCCAUGGGAGUCGGUAACACCCGAAGCCUGUAGUCUAACCGCAAGGAGGACGCAGUCGAAGGUGGGAUUGAUGACUGGGGUGAAGUCGGAACAAGGUA
rnacentral:rRNA from 1 species